CGAGACUAGCGAGGGCUUUAUCGUCACGUCCUCGCGUCCGGCCGGUGGGUUUCCGGUGUAGUUGUUCGGGGUGUUGUGUGAAGUUUAUAUUUGCCGGUUAAGAUGAUAUUAUUGGAAAUCAACAACAGAAUAAUCGAAGAAACACUACGGCUCAAGUUCAGAAAUGCCCAGUCAGGCAAUAAGCCAGAGGCUGUCGAAGUCAAAAUUGCCGACUUCGAUGGAGUUCUAUACCAUAUAUCCAAUCCAAAUGGUGACAAGACAAAGAUAAGGGUCAGCAUUUCAUUGAAAUUUUACAAGGAGCUCCAAGAACACGGGGCAGACGAG